AGUGAACGCUGGCGGCAGGCCUAACACAUGCAAGUCGAACGGCAGCACAAGAGAGCUUGCUCUCUGGGUGGCGAGUGGCGGACGGGUGAGGAAUACGUCGGAAUCUGCCUAUUUGUGGGGGAUAACGUAGGGAAACUUACGCUAAUACCGCAUACGACCUACGGGUGAAAGCGGAGGACCUUCGGGCUACGCGCAGAUAGAUGAGCCGACGUCGGAUUAGCUAGUUGGCGGGGUAAAGGCCCACCAAGGCGACGAUCCGUAGCUGGUCUGAGAGGAUGAUCAGCCACACUGGAACUGAGACACGGUCCAGACUCCUACGGGAGGCAGCAGUGGGGAAUAUUGGACAAUGGGCGCAAGCCUGAUCCAGCCAUGCCGCGUGGGUGAAGAAGGCCUUCGGGUUGUAAAGCCCUUUUGUUGGGAAAGAAAAGCAGCCGGUUAAUACCCGGUUGUCAUGACGGUACCCAAAGAAUAAGCACCGGCUAACUUCGUGCCAGCCGCCGCCGUAAAAC
rnacentral:rRNA from 1 species